rnacentral:tRNA from 1 species
GCCUGGCUGGCUCAGUCGGUAGAGCAUGUGACUCUUGAUCUCAGGGUCUUGAGUUCAAGCCCCAUGUUGGGCA